GGAGUAUCUGGAACCUGCGCCAUCUUGGAUUUUAUCGUCCAAGUGGCUGCCUACAAAGUUCCUAGGAUUUCCCUGGGAAUUGACAUCCUAUUGGCAGAAAGAAACAUGUACAUGGGAGAAAGCCUACGGUAGGGUGCCUGACUGAGAGGGAGGGCUUCGGCUUCUGCAAGCAAAUGACAACAGAGUAGCCACCCUGUUGCAUCAGAUUUCUGCAGCUUCAGCACGGAGUUGUUGGCUGCUCCACCCUUUGUUCUUGUUCUGCAUCAGAGGUCCUGUUCGUAUGGCCACCUUGUACCUUCCAGUUUCCUUCCUUACCUGACCAAAAGUCACUUUCCAGUCACGUGAAGAGGAAGCAGAAUUGCUUAUUGGAGGCUUUGUGCUUUGUGAACAAACCGAUGGACUUGGGUGAGCCCUGUGAAAGGGUCCUUCAACCCCAAAGGAGUCACAACAACCGGCAGCUGAGAUGCACUACCCUAGAGUAAGAGCAAUUCAAUAAAAUAUAACAUGGAGAAGUA